AGAGUUUGAUCCUGGCUCAGAACGAACGCUGGCGGCGUGCCUAACACAUGCAAGUCGAACGGAAUGAGGGGCUUGCUCCUCAUUUAGUGGCGCACGGGUGAGUAACGCGUGGACAAUCUGCCCUGGUAUCUGGGAUAACAUCUCGAAAGGGGUGCUAAUACCGGAUAAGCCCACGAGAACUUCGGUUCAUGCGGGAAAAG
rnacentral:rRNA from 1 species